rnacentral:tRNA from 1 species
GGAGGCAUGGCAGAUUGGCUAUGUAUCUGGCUUUUAACCAGCUCCAGGUAGGUUCGAUUCCUACUGCCUCCA